GCGCCGGUGGUGUAAGGCGAACAUCGCUGCCCGGAAAGCAGAAGAUGCGGGUUCGAGUCCCACCUGGCGCC
rnacentral:tRNA from 1 species